rnacentral:rRNA from 1 species
AUUGAACGCUGGCGGCAGGCCUAACACAUGCAAGUCGAACGAGUGGCGGACGGGUGAGUAAUGUCUGGGGAACUGCCCGAUGGAGGGGGAUAACUACUGGAAACGGUAGCUAAUACCGCAUACUAUCGGAUGAACCCAUAUGGGAUUAGCUAGUAGGUGGGGUAAAGGCUCACCUAGGCGACGAUCUCUAGCUGGUCUGAGAGGAUGACCAGCCACACUGGAACUGAGACACGGUCCAGACUCCUACGGGAGGCAGCAGUGGGGAAUAUUGCACAAUGGGCGCAAGCCUGAUGCAGCCAUGCCGCGUGUAUGAAGAAGGCCUUCGGGUUGUAAAGUACUUUCAGCGAGGAGGCGUUACUCGCAGAAGAAGCACCGGCUAACUCCGUGCCAGCAGCCGCGGUAAUAC